GGGGUUGUAGCUCAGUGGUAGAGCGCUUGCCUUGCAUACACAAGUACCUGGGUUCGAUCCUCAGCACCACA
rnacentral:tRNA from 1 species